AUUGAACGCUGGCGGCAGGCCUAACACAUGCAAGUCGAACGAGUGGCGGACGGGUGAGUAAUGUCUGGGAAACUGCCUGAUGGAGGGGGAUAACUACUGGAAACGGUAGCUAAUACCGCAUACCAUCAGAUGUGCCCAGAUGGGAUUAGCUUGUUGGUGGGGUAACGGCUAACCAAGGCGACGAUCCCUAGCUGGUCUGAGAGGAUGACCAGCCAUACAGGAAAUGAGACACGGUCCAAACUCCAACGGGAGGCAGAAGUGGGGAAUAUUGCACGAUGGGAGCAAGCCUGAUGCAACCAUGCCGCGUGUAUGAAGAAGGCCUUCGGGUUGUAAAGUACAUGCAGCGAGGAGGCGUUACCCGCAGAAGAAACACCGGCUAACUCCGUGGCAGCAGCCGCGGCGAUUC
rnacentral:rRNA from 1 species